GAUGAACGCUGGCGGCGUGCCUAAUACAUGCAAGUCGAGCGAACAGACGAGGAGCUUGCUCCUCUGACGUUAGCGGCGGACGGGUGAGUAACACGUGGAUAACCUACCUAUAAGACUGGGAUAACUUCGGGAAACCGGAGCUAAUACCGGAUAAUAUAUUGAACCGCAUGGUUCAAUAGUGAAAGACGGUUUUGCUGUCACUUAUAGAUGGAUCCGCGCCGCAUUAGCUAGUUGGUAAGGUACCGGCUUACCAAGGCGACGAUGCGUAGCCGACCUGAGCGGGUGAUCGGCCACACUGGAACUGAGACACGGUCCAGACUCCUACGGGAGGCAGCAGUAGGGAAUCUUCCGCAAUGGGCGAAAGCCUGACGGAGCAACGCCGCGUGAGUGAUGAAGGUCUUCGGAUCGUAAAACUCUGUUAUUAGGGAAGAACAAAUGUGUAAGUAACUAUGCACGUCUUGACGGUACCUAAUCAGAAAGCCACGGCUAACUACGUG
rnacentral:rRNA from 1 species